AGCCAGAAAACGUGAAUGUUUUUCUUCGACGAUAUGUCUCAGAAUUUGAAUUACCCCAAACUGAAGCAGUUAGAAUGCCGAACAAGAAAUUGAAGAAAAUCUACCUAUACAAUUAUCGGCAUUUCUAACUCCGAGCUUGAAAGUUUCCUUUCUCCGGCGAUCCAGAGUGUGAGGUGGAAGAAAUAAACAACGUGAAGACUAACCAGGGAUCUCCAGACAACUACGAUGUCAGCCCACUUACUCAGCCCCACACAUAGGGUAUAUAGAGUACUGUUCACGAGAUCACAGCCCUAGAAAAGAGGUUCCAUCUGGCAGAAGUGACCCAGCAGGAAGCGCAGAAUAUGGAGGUAGAUCGGGAAAAAGUUGCCGUCAUGCUGGAGGAUGAACUCAAGAAAUUCAGGUCAGAUGUCCAGAAGAUGCCCAGAAACCAGUGAGGGCAUCUAGUGCUAUUCACUCGAACAGGUCCCUGGAAUCAAGGGUUCAUCUGGCAGAAGAGACCUAAUGGGAAGCAGGAAAUAUGUACCAAGAUUAGGGAAAACUUGUUGCCAUGCUGGAGGAUGAACUCAACAAACUUGGAUCAAUGGAACAGAUAAUGCGCUGGGAUAUGCCACCAG